GAUGAACGCUAGCGGCAGGCCUAAUACAUGCAAGCCGAACGGCAAGCUUUGUAGCAAUACGGAGCCUAGAGUGGCGUAAGGGUGCGUAACACGUAUGCAAUCUACCCUCAACAGGAGAAUAGCUCCCCGAAAGGGGAAUUAAUGUUCCAUAGGAUCAUGGUGCGGCAUCGCACAGUGAUUAAACCGCAAGGGGUUGAGGAUGAGCAUGCGCANGAUUAGUUAGUUGGCGGGGUAACGGCCCACCAAGACGAUGAUCAUUAGGGGAACUGAGAGGUUGAUCCCCCACACUGGCACUGA
rnacentral:rRNA from 1 species